CUGCAACACUCUCUGGUACGCAUCGCUUAACAAGCUAGUAAGUUACCAAUUGCUUCCAUGGCCACUCAAGCAAAUUCCUCCUCCCCCUCUUCAACUUCUUCAUCAUCUUCUUCUUUUUCUUCUUGCCCUCGAUGGAAAUACCAUGUGUUCCUUAGUUUUUCCGGUGUUGACACCCGAAAGAAUUUCACAGAUCAUCUUUAUACUGCUUUGAAACAAAAGGGUAUUAUCACUUUUCGGGAUGAUGAAAAACUUGAGCGAGGAAAAUAUAUUUCUCAAGAGCUCUUAAAAGCAAUAGAGGAGUCCAAAUAUGCUAUCAUUGUUUUCUCAACAAACUAUGCUUCUUCAAGGUGGUGCUUAAUUGAACUAGCAAAAAUUGUUAAAUGCAAGAAGGAGACCGGAGUGACAGUUUUGCCUGUCUUUUAUCACGUGGAUCCCUCUGAUGUCAGGAACCAGAAUGGCAUUCUUGCUGAAGCCUUUGCUAAACAUGAGAAAGAUAACAGGAUUAACACAGAAGAUGUGCAAGCGUGGAAAGCUGCUUUGAAAGACGUGGGUGAUAUAUCUGGAUGGCAUUUGCAUGAUAGGCAUGAAUCAAUAAUUAUACAAAAAAUCAUUGGAAGGAUAUUUAGUGAGUUGUAUCACAAACUCCCAGGUGUUUCUGAGGACCUUGUUGGAAUGGACUCUUGUGUGGAGGAAAUGUUGGAUUCAUACAUAGGUGAAGGGUUGGGUGGUGUUCGCUUUGUUGGGAUAUGCGGGAUGGGUGGAAUGGGCAAAACAACCCUUGCACAUGAAAUUUAUAGAAGAAUUUCUAGUAACUUUGAAGGUAGAAGCUUUAUUGCUAAUAUUAGAGAAGAAACUAAAAAUCAAGGUCUAGUUUCUUUACAAAAACAACUUCUUUCUCAGAUCCUCAUGGAAAGUGAAAUAAAUAUAUGGGAUGUUUGGGAGGGAAUCAAUGUUAUAAGGAAUACACUAUGUAAUAAAAGUGUUUUUAUUAUUCUUGAUGAUGUGGAUGGAGAUGAGCAAUUAGAAGCAUUGGCAGGGAAGCAUGACUGGUUUGGUCCUGGAAGUAGAAUCAUUGUAACAAGCAGAGAUAGCCAUUUAUUGAUAAGAUGUGGUGUGGAUUACAUAUAUACAGCCAAGGAAUUGAAUAAUGAUUAUGCUUUGCAGCUUUUUAGUUGGAAAGCUUUUCAUAAACCUCAUCCUGAAGAAAAUUAUGUGAAUUUGUCUAAGGACUUUGUGAAUUAUGCUAAAGGCCUUCCUUUAGCUCUUAAAGUUUUAGGUUCUUUAUUGUUUGCUAAAAAAUUGAAAGAAUGGGAAAGUGCCCUAUAUAAACUAAAAAAAGAACCUAAUAGAAACAUUUUGGAUAUACUUCAAAUAAGUCUUAAUGGGCUUACAAAUUCGGAGAAAGGAUUGUUUCUAGAUAUUGCAUGUUUUUUCAAAGGAGAGAACAAAGAUUGCAUAAGAGAUAUAUUGGAAAGUUUUUAUUAUUCUCUAGACUACGAUAUUGGUGUUCUUAUGGACAAAUCUCUCAUAACCAUUUAUGACGAUGGAACUUUGUGGAUGCAUGAUUUGCUACAAGAUAUGGGUCAAGAAAUCGUUCGUUGUGAAUCUCCUAAAGAACCUGGUGGACGUAGUAGGUUGUGGAUUUAUGAUGAUGUCAUUCAUGUAUUGCAGAAUAAUUCUGGAACAGAGGUAGUUGAAGGCAUAAUGGUAAACAUGCCUAUUCAAAAAGUGAAACAUCUGAGUGCUGAAGCCUUCUCAAAGAUGAAAAAUUUGAGAUUGCUUAAAAUUAGUAGUGAAAAACUUCCAGGAGACUUCAUAAAUGGUACUAUGCAACUUCCAAAAGACCUCAUUAGAGGUAAGGUGCAACUUCCACAAGGCCUCAAUUAUCUUUCUAAUGAGUUAUGUCUUCUCGAAUGGCAUGGAUAUCCUUUAAAAUGUUUACCAACCAAUUUCCAACUAAACAAAAUUGUUGAAUUGAGAAUGCAUUGUAGUGGCAUCAAACAACUAUGGAAUGGAAACAUGAAUUUAGGCGAGUUAAGACUCAUUGACCUAAGUGACUCUCAAAACUUGAUUGAGAUACCAGACCUUAGUGGAGCCCCAAAGCUUAAGCAAUUGAUUUUUCGACAUUGUACAGGACUAUAUAAGAUUCAUGCAUCUAUAGAAGAUCUCAAACAACUUAUUCGAUUGGAUCUGAAUGGUUGCAAAUGUAUCGAAAGCCUUCCUCACAAGAUCAGCUUGGAAGCACUUGAAAUUUUGGAUCUUGGUGGUUGUUCAAGACUGAAGAAAGUUCCAGAAAUUGUAGGAAAUAUGUCACGUUUGUCAAAACUUUGUUUGAGUGAGACAGCUAUAAAAGAUCUACCAUUAUCAGUAGAGUAUUUAACUGGCCUUAUUGAAUUGGAUCUAAGAGACUGUAAAAACCUUUCAAGUCUUUCGAAUGCAUGUUGUUGUUUGAUGUCUCUAAAAAUUCUCACCUUAUCUGGUUGCUCAAAACUUGAAGAAUUACCAGAGAAUUUGGGUAAUAUCGAAGGCCUAGAAAAGCUAGACGUGAGUGGAACUGCUAUAAUAGGGCUACCUUUAUCUGUUGUUCACUUAAAAAAUCUCAAAGUACUAUCUCUCUGUGGAUGUGUGGGGCUAUCAUCUAAAUCAUUCAAUAAGCUCCUGAGUUUUCCUUUAAUGCAACGAAAAAGAAGUCCUGAUCCCAUGGGCAUGUUAGAGUGUUCUUUACAAGGCUUAUGGUCUUUGACGAAGCUGGAUUUUAGUUAUUGCAAUAUUCAAACGAUUCCUAAUGCUCUUGGGUCGUUGUCAUCUUUAAAAGAGUUAAAUCUAAAAGGAAACAAUUUUGUUUGCCUUCCUAAAAGUAUCAUUCAACUAUCUAAUUUGAAAACCCUUUAUUUGGGUGGUUGCACUCAACUUCAAAUGUUGCCCAAGCUUCCAUUAAAUAUGCUUUUUAUCAAUGCAACAGGGUGUACCUCAUUGGAAACAUUAUCAUUAAGUCCAGAAUAUCAUUUUGGGCCGGUUAUAAUGCUUUUCAAUUGCGUCAAAUUGAUUUAUAAUCAAGGCAAAGGUGACCUGUUGUCAACAAUUCUAAGACAUUAUAUCAUUGAGGGAUGCUUUGGCUCGAAUUUGUUCACAUAUCUCACAAUUCCUGGGAGUGAAAUUCCGAAUUGGUUUAGGCACCAAAAUGUGGGGGCUUCAGUGAAUCUGCAAGUGCCUUCACAUUUAUUAUUAAGUAGCAAAUUUAUGGGAAUUGCAGUGUGCGCUGUUUAUAUAUUCCGCCAACAUCAUCCACUUCACCAACUUCAUAUUCAAAAUACGGAGUCGCUUAGUUGUUCCGUUAAAGCCAACGGAAGUCAACCUUAUGCAGUGGGCCUUUGGUUAUUGGAGGGAUUUGGUAAAAUUGAAUCGUAUCAUCUUUGGCUCGAAUUUUUUCCCUAUAAAAAACGCUUCGAAAGGCUCUGGAAAGAAGUAUUGGAUGCUAAUGAAUUCACCCAAAUUGAGGUUACAUUUAAAACCGAAGGCCUAGGCUGGGAGUUAACGAAAUGCGGAGCCCAUUUGAUAUUCGAGCAAGACAUUGAAGAUCUCAAACAAACUAAGCCUGGGUCUAGCGGCUGCACUAUCACUCCUUAUUAUGAGGAUGAUGAUUUAGGGGGCGAUCCAGAGAAAGAUACCAAAAUCAAGGAAAGCCGUGAUGAUGAACCACCACACCCAAAGUGGACAGAGCACCCUAAUCUAAUUGAAAACUGGAUUGGGAAUUCAUGCAUGCAAGGACAAGGUGACUCUGAUUGUGAGUGAGGAAAGAGGAAUCCCAGUGAAAGUGGCAACUUUGAUGAAUCUGCACACAGACAAAGAGGCUACGCAAUGCUGAAUGGCACAGUUGAUCUUACUACAACGACCACUACACUGUCUUUGAGUGUCUGUGGUGUUGAUGCUGAUGAUGAUGGAGUGGAACUAGGUUUGGUGCAAUUUCUGUGGCUACAAGGAAACUUGAGGUUAAUUAAAGUGAAAAGGGUACCAGUUGGAGCUAUGCCAGAAAGCUUUGGAGGAGAACAUUUUUGUUUAUUUGGGGAUAGGUUGUGGGACGACCACAUUGUUGUACUGCUUAUACAUGAGCUGGGUCACUUGAUAAGGAAGCCCCAUAAGGGCAUAUGUGUCAUCCUCGCCCCUACGGUGGCUCUAGUUCAGCAGGUAAGCUACUAUCUAUCAUGUUGGUUUUGUAAUUUGAUAGUCAGUUUUGGCUUGUAUUUAAUUUGAGACAAUAUUUGUUGGUUAUAUGGCUGGUACAUUGCACAAUAAUGAAGUGAUGUGCUCUUUGGCUUGGCUGAGGUUGUAGGUAUGUAGGUUGUGAGAAGCAGGUAGAAUUGUUGCUUUUUAGUGCUUAUCUAUGCAAUUUCUCAUUGUGAUUCUAUAUUUUAAGAAGGGCCUUUUUGAAUCUAGGUCCUUCAAGUUCACCUUGAAAGGGAGUUUGGUAUUUUAUCAACAGAACCAUGACUAUACUAAUGAAGUAUGAACUCAUGACCCCUUGAAAUAUAUAAACAAAAUCAAUAUAGGGUUAGACUACCAGAUAAUAGAAAAGCAUCAAUUCCCAGAACCAAGGAUUCAAUUCCUAGAAAUUGACCAACCUUGAUAGUGCAGAAAUUUGGGCUUAUUCUUUUAACAGCAAGGUGAUAUGUAGUGUUUUAGCAAGCAAUAAAGGAUUGUGUGGCCUCUUUAUCUGUUAAUUGGGUCUCAUUUGUCAAUUGAUGAUUGAUAAUUGUGAAAGAAAAAUGCAAAACUAUAAUUGUGAUUUAUGAGGCAUGACCCAGUAGAACAAGAACCUCUAUUGAGGAAUUUUACCUUGAGAGACUGAGACAACCUCACUGAUACCAUUCUUAAAGAUAUGGGAAAUCAACCUCUCCACUACUUGCAUAGUUGCCUUCAGUACUCUUGUGCUCUUCCUUCUAUCUUAAAUUUAAAUAAAGUAUCUCAUUUGUUUCUUAUUCUCUUUGUGAUUUGGUAAGAAAUGAUUUUUCCAUCCUUUCAAUCAUAUUAGCACUUCCUUAUUUAAAAAAACAAAAACAUUUCUUCUUUUUUAGUUUUCCUGUCAAUCAAAUUUUCCAUAGUUGAAUACUUUCCUACAUGAUCUGUUAUUUAUUGUUUGAUUUGAUCUUAGAUCUGUGCACUUUUGUUAAGGACAUCAAAAGUUAAUUUUAGAUCAUAUGUGGUCUUUUGCAAGUCAAAUUGACUUGGGCACUCUACCUUACCAAUUAAUUAUUGGUAGGAUGUGGAUGUUGUGUUGAAAAUUUAACCUAAUUCCCAUAACCUAUGAGAUGUGAAAAUUGAGGAAAAAAAAAAGAACAACCACACAACACAAAUA